rnacentral:miRNA from 1 species
UCCGUGUGGAGGGACAGAGCAC